rnacentral:rRNA from 1 species
AGAGUUUGAUCCUGGUUCAGGACGAACGCUGGCGGCGUGCCUAACACAUGCAAGUCGAGCGGAGGCAACCGAAGAGCAAUCUAAGGAUGCCUGAGCGGCGGACGGGUGAGUAACACGUGAGCAACCUGCCUAUCACAGGGGGAUAACGCAGCGAAAGCUGCACUAAUACCGCAUGAGACCACAGCGGCGAAGGCUGCGGGGGUCAAAGGAGCGAUCCAGUGAGAGAUGGGCUCGCGUCCGAUUAGGUAGUUGGUGAGGUAACGGCCCACCAAGCCAAUGAUCGGUAGCCGGCCUGAGAGGGUGAACGGCCACAUUGGAACUGAGAGACGGUCCAAACUCCUACGGGAGGCAGCAGUGGGGAAUAUUGGGCAAUGGGGGAAACCCUGACCCAGCAACGCCGCGUGAGGGAAGAAGGUUUUCGGAUUGUAAACCUCUGUUCUUGGUGAAGAGAAGAAGACGGUAGCCAAGGAGGAAGCCCCGGCUAACUACGUGCCAGCAGCCGCGGUAAUAC